CCUAUUUGUGCAAUAGAAUUUCAUAAAACAUAAUGAGCUUCAUGACUUCAUGAACUCUUUGAGUAUGUCUGGCAUUGACAUUUCUUUGUCAGCAAGUGUUUCUUCCUCGUCGCGGGAAACGAAAGGCCAAGAGGAAGCGAAAGUCUGCGAAAGUUUGGCCCCUGCAUUAAAUUCAUUAUACACAACAGGGCCUACCACUAAAACCAGUCUGUGUGCAAGACCCACAAUCCUUCCAAGCACUGUUUAAAUGCAAGCAUCAUGAAUGGAACUGUAAACGGAGACCAUGAGAGUGGAAAAAUCACUGUUCAUGUGGAGAAAGUCGCAAAUACCUCAGAAUUCCCAUACACUGGUCGAGAAGGUCAAGUUGCCUGCAGUGUUGGCAAUAAAGUCUACAUUUUUGGUGGGGUAGAGCAAGGCCAGUGGGAAGAACCGAAAGAAACCAAUGAGCUGCUCAUGUUUGAUUUAGACACGAGGAAAUGGUCAAGACCAAACGUCUCAGGCACAUUACCACCAUCGAGAUCAGCAGGCUCGUUUGUUGCUGUUGGUACAAGCUUAUACUUAUUUGGAGGCCUCAGCCACAUGUCUGGAUGGUUUGAUGACACAUUCAUCUUUGAUACUGUUACCAGCACUUGGGCAAUAUUGGAGACCGAAGGAACCAAACCAAGGGCAAGAGAUAAAUUACAAGCUGUGGCCAUCGACUCAAAAAUUUAUUAUUUUGGCGGGUUUGGUCCAAAAUCCGAUGAAGCAGAAGCAGUGGACCUGGGUGCUGACAGUGAUGAUGAUGAAGAAUUUGAGGAUAUUCCUGAGUCACAAGAACAAGAUGGAGCAGAGUUUGGCUGGUUCAACGACUUGUAUAUUCUUGAUACAGAAACACUGAAAUGGUCCCAACCAAUGCAAAUGAAUCUUGGAGUGCCUACUCAGAGAGCAGCACAUGGCAUGUGUGCUAUUGGUAGAAAUCUUGUUAUCUUCGGAGGCAGAGAUAUAGAAGACAGGCAGAACGAUCUACACAUUUUUAAUGUUGAUACCCGGAAGUGGAUUACUGAUCUGAAAGUGUCCGGUGAUGCUCCUGCUGCAAGAUCUUUCCACACUUUGACUUCAGUAGGCAACAGAGCUGUGCUUUUUGGAGGAAGGGGGAGGGACCACCAGCAUUUCAGCAAUUUUGAUGUUUUUGAUUUUGACAAAAAAGAAUGGGUGCCAACGACCAUCACCGGAUGUCAACCUGCUGGACGGGGCCUUCAUUGUACUGUUUGCGUCGGAGACAAAAUAUUCUUGUUUGGGGGUUCAGGAGACUUCAGUGCUCAGACGAUGCAGUGUCAGACCUUCUACUCUGACGCCUUUGUUAUAGAAACAGAUUGGGUUUUUGCUUCAUUCCUGCACUGAAAGAUGGGAACUACAGUGGAAACCUGAUAUAACAGGGAUGGUGGGACCGAGAAAAAUCCCUGUGAAAUCAGAAAUAUGAUUUCAAAGACACAUCCAAGUCGAAUGGCUUUGCACAGAAUUCUGGAGACUCGUAGAACACAGCUUUUUUAACGUUUCCAUCCUCAAGAUGUUUGUGUGGUUAAAACCCCCUUUUGCUGAGCAUUGUUAUAAUUUUUUCCAAUGCUUAGCUUAAACAAAGCAUGAGAUUGUGAGGUUCUGAAAGAUAAAAGUGGAAAUUGAAAUCAUAGCAAUGCCAUUUGUGCAUUUUUAACCAUUUAGUUGUGCUGGAAACAUUUUAUCUGAUGUUUUACCUAUUAAAUAUAUUUAAAUUGACUCUUAUUGUGUUUCUUGUUUGAAAUUUAACAAAGACAUAUUGCAGGGAAGAUGGGAAAGCUUUUUUUUUUUUUUGGUGCAUGUGUAUAUCUGUGUGUCUUCAUUUUGCUUGUUAGUUUUGGUUUAGUUUCUUGAAUUUUUUUUUUUUAGGACAAUCAUUUAAUGGUCUAAUUUUUCAAAUACACAGUGAUAAGUUUGGUUGUAGCUUUUCAUUUGUCUUGGCCCAGACAAUUAGUAAAUUUAGGUUUGUUAAUGGAAUAAAUCUUAUCUUUGGUUUUUAGAGCAAUCUACAACUAUGUGCUCAGUAGUUCUCAUGUUGUUAUUGUGAAUUUGAGCGCUGUGUUUAAUUAAAAUUACUAUAUGUGAUAGUAUGCAGCAUCUAAAGUGUUUUCAGCCUGUUUUUUAUUUUUUAUUUUAUUUUAAUGAUAUUCUGCCUUAACUUCAUUGUUUAGUAUUGCUACUCAUUCUUUCCUCAAAUGAAAUGGGAGUAAUUGUUUAUUUUACAGCGUUUACGUCUGUGUGUCCCUUUCUCCCUCUGUACUAAUGCUUGAUAUGUCCCAAGUGCUCAUAUGACCUUAUGCAGUUAUUUUGAGCGCCGUAAAACACUUUACAAAACAAAAGUAUCUCUCUCUACUUUGCACAUAGUCAUGUGACUGAGUCCCAUGUUUCCAUUGUUUCACUGUGUGAAACAAUUGCGUAGUUCCUCAACAGGGGUCCCUUUGUCCUGACUUAACCAAACACACACACACACACACACACAAUACCCCCUCCUUCCAUCCUCCUUUGUUUGAAGUAUCCUCUGUCCUUCCCACUUGCUGGUCACUGCUCAGCUGGCCUCACAGCAACUCAAGGGUCAAGUGUAUACCACUAAAUGGUUAAGAUGGUUUUGAAAUAAGACCUUAAGUACUCUCUUGUUGGUUCACGCAGUGUAAAACUUUCUUUUUCUCCAAAGGUUGUGAACUGCCUUUUUUGCAAGCAAUGCAUUUUCUUUUCCUGUAACUUCUUUCGAACAACCUUUUAAGACAUGUGAGAGAUUUGGGGGGGGGGGGGGUUGUUUUUUAUUUUUUUUAUUUUGUAUACAUUGCUGUCACCAUCUGGAAAUGAUCAAAUUGCAAAUGACCACAUUAGUUACUGUUUUACAGUAGUUUUUGCUCACUUGUAAGAAUGUCGUAAUUGUACAUGAAUUAUUUCUGUGGCAGUGAGGUCAGGUUACAUUCUUGGUUCAGUGGGUGGUUUGAGGGUUCCACUCAAGUUGCUCCUCCACUUAUUUAUUAUUUUGUUGUUUCCUCACGCUUUUUUUUCCCCCUUACACUAAGUGGCUAUUGUUUCAUGGUUCUAAAAAAUAUUUGAAGACUAAAAUUAGUCUGUCUGCACAUGUAUUUUUGUCUCAACCAUGUAUCUUCUUCCCUAUUUAAAAAAAACCCAGUCAUUAUGCACCAGUAAUCUUCAGAGCGAUUUAUGCUUUCAGUUAAGCAAGUGCAAUCAGCUUGAUUGAUUUGAACUGUUACUGUCAUGAAUUGUUGGUUUUAUGCCUUUUCUUUAACAAGCCCCGGUUGUUUUGAUAAAGCCUAAGUCGUAUACAUGCAUCAAGUAUAAAAUCCGUAAUGUUCAGGAUUUGUCAUGUUUGUAAUGGUGAGACUUAGCUAUUUAAUUGUUAUGAGCGCUUGUAAGUCAGAUAUUCUUGGAAGUCCAGAGUCUCUCACGCUCUGACCAUCUUGACUUGUUGUGUGUUGGGGGAAUUGUUAACAUCCGUCUGUUGACUUUUUAGAUGUGAUAUUAGCACAUCGUGGAUGGUUGGCAGGUGCUCUGGUGUGGUUUGCUCCUUUCGUAUCAAACAACUAUCGUCUUUAUCUCUCCUCCUUUUUUAUGUUUGUUACUCUCUUGUAACACCUCUAAUCUUCGGCACUUUUAUGACCUUAUUGUGUUGUAAGUGCCAUAAAACUCUUACUAAGAAGAAAUAAAAUAUUAGCACAUCAUUGUGGUGACGUUGCAGGAACUGAAAUUUUUUCAAAUCGAGCUUGAUUUAAGUGGCAUGGCAUUGAGACUAUUGCCCUGAAAACUUUCGCCAAUCUUUGGUCUUGUCUUUUGUUUUUUAAAAAAUUUCCAGUGAUUGUGAAAAUGUGUGACUCUACUACAUGUUUCUCAGUCAUUGUCAUUGCUGAUUUGAUUUAUGUCUGUUAAGUUUUGUUUUCUCUUCGCCUUGCUUCUUCCACUUCCAGGAAUGUUAUGAGGGGCUUUUGGAAAUUGUUUUAGCAUGUAAUAAUUCCCAUUGGACGUUUGAAAUGAUCCUGCUUUUACAAAUAAAAUACAUGUGUACAGACAUGAGUAUGAAAUGGAA